GACGAACGCUGGCGGCGUGCUUAACACAUGCAAGUCGAACGGAAAGGCCCUGCUUUUGUGGGGUGCUCGAGUGGCGAACGGGUGAGUAACACGUGAGUAACCUGCCCUUGACUUUGGGAUAACUUCAGGAAACUGGGGCUAAUACCGGAUAGGAGCUCCUGCCGCAUGGUGGGGGUUGGAAAGUUUCGGCGGUUUGGGAUGGACUCGCGGCUUAUCAGCUUGUUGGUGGGGUAGUGGCUUACCAAGGCUUUGACGGGUAGCCGGCCUGAGAGGGUGACCGGCCACAUUGGGACUGAGAUACGGCCCAGACUCCUACGGGAGGCAGCAGUGGGGAAUAUUGCACAAUGGGCGGAAGCCUGAUGCAGCAACGCCGCGUGCGGGAUGACGGCCUUCGGGUUGUAAACCGCUUUCGCCUGUGACGAAGCGUGAGUGACGGUAAUGGGUAAAGAAGCACCGGCUAACUACGUG
rnacentral:rRNA from 1 species